rnacentral:rRNA from 1 species
GGAUCCAGCCCUACUGCGCAUAGAGCACCGCUUCCCAUCCGAACAGCGAAGUAAAGCUGCGCCAGGCGGUGCUAGUACUGGGUGCU